UCACACAACAUCCCCUAUAAAUGCGUUACGUAGGAAUUUAUAUUAAUGUAGGAAAAAAGUACAGAAAAUUCUCCUCACAGUUCAGGGAAAAAAUGGUCGGCCGGCGGUUGCUUAUUGUUAGCAUCAUCGUAUUAUUUUUGUCUUCAUUUUCAUUCGAGACAGUGUUGGCAAAUCGAAGCAAAAUCCCCAUCCCAAGAAAGAAGAAUGGUGAAACUGGAAGGCAUGAAAGUCUAAAGGAAAACAAAAUUCUGUCACGUGCUUCUUUUUCAAGACCAGUAGGUGUUCGUGGCCAUGCAGCCCCACCACCGAAUUUUUGAUAUUUGUUAUUUGUUGCUUUUCUUGUCUGAGAUCGCAUUUGCUGAACAGUCCAAGAUUCGCAAAACCAGUAAGUCAGAUUAUGAAUUUUAUGUACCUAUAUAUAUAUAUAUACAUACUUGUCCAUGAAUUGUUUGUUGUUUUCAGGAGUGGAUGGUGAAGAUCAUGCAAACUUUGCGGAAAACAAAAUUGCUGCUGACGGGAGCUCAUCGCCACCUGCCCGUCACUAUAUUCGCAAUCACUCUAGCUGCGGUACAGAGUGGUAAAUAUCCUAACGGCCUGCAAGAAUCAUAAAAUUCUCAAUCGCGGAAUCAAUAUAUAUAUUGUACGUCUGUGUGCACACGCGCAUAAACUGCAAUAUUUGAUAAUAUAUAGAUGUGCGGAAUAUAAUAUUUUAAAGAUGAAACUUUCUCUUUUCAUAUUUGUAAAAUUCAAAGUUACAGUAAAAAAAAAAAAAUGGGCACGGAAGCAAUGGAAAUGUAUGUAUAACGGAUCAAAUAGUGGUAAAAAUACCUCGUUGCCUGUUUAAGCCAA